GACGAACGCUGGCGGCGUGCUUAACACAUGCAAGUCGAACGCUGAAGCUCAGCUUUUGUUGGGUGGAUGAGUGGCGAACGGGUGAGUAACACGUGAGUAACCUGCCCCCUUCUUUGGGAUAACGCCCGGAAACGGGUGCUAAUACUGGAUACUCACUGGUCUUCGCAUGGGGGUUGGUGGAAAGGGUUUUUCUGGUGGGGGAUGGGCUCGCGGCCUAUCAGCUUGUUGGUGGGGUGAUGGCCUACCAAGGCUUUGACGGGUAGCCGGCCUGAGAGGGUGACCGGUCACAUUGGGACUGAGAUACGGCCCAGACUCCUACGGGAGGCAGCAGUGGGGAAUAUUGCACAAUGGGCGCAAGCCUGAUGCAGCGACGCCGCGUGAGGGAUGGAGGCCUUCGGGUUGUGAACCUCUUUCGCUCAUGGUCAAGCCGCAACAAUGGUUGUGGUGAGGGUAGUGGGUAAAGAAGCGCCGGCUAACUACGUG
rnacentral:rRNA from 1 species